GUAGGCAUAGUUUAAUCAAAACAUUAGAUUGUGAUUCUAAAAAGAAAGGUUAAAACCCUUUUGCCCACC
rnacentral:tRNA from 1 species